rnacentral:misc_RNA from 1 species
UGUUAUAAAGUUAGUCAGUGUGUAAAGGAUAAUAAUAAACACUAGAAGUUUUGUUAUGCACAUAAAUAGCAUUAGAUGCAUAGUUUUAUUAAUAAUUCUAAGUAAGUUAUAACACUAAACUAAGUGAAAGGACUGAAAAUAUAGACGUACAUGAUAGAUAGAUGUACUUAAACUUAUAUAGAAUUACAUUUAUGUAGGGGAAGCGACUGCGCACGGAAAUCAAACGCGGAAAAGAAAUUUCACAAACUAUACAAUCAAACAUGGACAAAAUAAUAAUUCAAAACCAAUUCGAAGAAUUAACGAGGAUCCUCUUGAAAAACUGCAGAAAGAAUUAGGAAAGUUCGCUCAUCAUGGAAAAAUUGAAACUUACUAUGACCCAUACUGGCAGAGUGGAGAAUGGGUGUUUUUGAGGAUUACAACGCGCAAAGGGGAUACCCCUCCUGCAACGACCACAUUAAUACCCGGAAUUACUGCAAAAAAAUUUAGGAAAUGGCCGAUGUCUAUAUACCGGGACUGCGAUCUAUUAUGUAUAAAUAUUUAUAAGGAUAAUUAUGGUGCGGUGUGCGCGCAGCGGUACAACACUAUGACAUGGAAAAAUGAGUACAAAUCAUUUAAAAACAUGUGCGAAUUAGAACGAGAGAACUGCAAAUUACCCGAGAAACGACCGAUGUGGUAUCCAAUACACAGAGAGAAAUACUGCGAUGAAUUAUCGACAUUUAAGUUGUUCCCGACAAAUCCAACCUUGAUUUUGCAACGGAAGACUAGCUGGGCUCCCUACGAGUACCUUCGAACGAAGACUACUACCGUACCAGUUUUGUUUUUGACUACAACUGGCAAAAGUAAUUAGUUUUGAUGUUGCGCCAUUCGGGUAUUAUAAAUUGUGUUUUGUAUCGACAUAUCAGUAAACUAUAUGAAGAAAAUCCAGCAUGCCUUACAUGUGAUAAUUAUUAUUGUUUCUACAUGACACUUGAAGUAAUAAUAAAUUAUUUAUAAACACAUAUCGACAGUCAUAAACCUUUACUUUUAUUUAAUCUUGUUAGUAUUUGAUAUUCGUUUAUCAUAAUUCGAUAUGUGAUUACGAUUGGAGCUAUCAAAUGGAUCCGCUAGAAAAUAAAAUGUCCGAUUUAUGUUUGCGAUAAAUCGGACUUGAUGACACCCGUUCCGAUCUUCUGGAACAUCGCAUCGGACCAGUGCAUCCCUAGUGUAUGGA